CCUUGAAAUACCACCCUUUAAUGUUUGAUGUUCUAACGUGGACCCGUGAUCCGGGUUGCGGACAGUGUCUGGUGGGUAGUUUGACUGGGGCGGUCUCCUCCUAAAGAGUAACGGAGGAGCACGAAGGUUGGCUAAUCCUGGUCGGACAUCAGGAGGUUAGUGCAAUGGCAUAAGCCAGCUUGACUGCGAGCGUGACGGCGCGAGCAGGUGCGAAAGCAGGUCAUAGUGAUCCGGUGGUUCUGAAUGGAAGGGCCAUCGCUCAACGGAUAAAAGGUACUCCGGGGAUAACAGGCUGAUACCGCCCAAGAGUUCAUAUCGACGGCGGUGUUUGGCACCUCGAUGUCGGCUCAUCACAUCCUGGGGCUGAAGUAGGUCCCAAGGGUAUGGCUGUUCGCCAUUUAAAGUGGUACGCGAGCUGGGUUUAGAACGUCGUGAGACAGUUCGGUCCCUAUCUGCCGUGGGCGCUGGAGAACUGAGGGGGGCUGCUCCUAGUACGAGAGGACCGGAGUGGACGCAUCACUGGUGUUCGGGUUGUCAUGCCAAUGGCACUGCCCGGUAGCUAAAUGCGGAAGAGAUAAGUGCUGAAAGCAUCUAAGCACGAAACUUGCCCCGAGAUGAGUUCUCCCUGAGACUUAGAGUCUCCUGAAGGAACGUUGAAGACGACGACGUUGAUAGGCCGGGUGUGUAAGCGCAGCGAUGCGUUGAGCUAACCGGUACUAAUGAACCGUGAGGCUUAACCUU
rnacentral:rRNA from 1 species